AGGAUGAACGCUGGCGGCGUGCUUAACACAUGCAAGUCGAGCGGAAAGGCCCUUCGGGGUACUCGAGCGGCGAACGGGUGAGUAACACGUGAGCAAUCUGCCCUUAGCUUCGGGAUAGCUCCGGGAAACCGGAAUUAAUACCGAAUAUGACUUCGGCCGACAUCGGCCUUGGUGGAAAGUUUUUCGGCUAGGGAUGAACUCGCGGCCUAUCAGCUUGUUGGUGGGGUAAUGGCCUACCAAGGCGACGACGGGUAGCCGGCCUGAGAGGGCGACCGGCCACACUGGGACUGAGACACGGCCCAGACUCCUACGGGAGGCAGCAGUGGGGAAUAUUGCGCAAUGGGCGAAAGCCUGACGCAGCGACGCCGCGUGGGGGAUGAAGGCCUUCGGGUUGUAAACCCCUUUCAGCAGGGACGAAGCGAAAGUGACGGUACCUGCAGAAGAAGCGCCGGCUAACUACGUGCCAGCAGCCGC
rnacentral:rRNA from 1 species